GUAGGUGGCAAGCGUUGUCCGGAAUUAUUGGGCGUAAAGCGCGCGCAGGCGGUCCUUUAAGUCUGAUGUGAAAGACCCACGGGCUCAACCGUGAGGUCAUUGGAAACUGGGGGACUUGAGUACAGAAGAGGAAAGCGGAAUUCCAAGUGUAGCGGUGAAAUGCGUAGAGAUUUGCAGGAACACCAGUGGCGAAGGCGGCUUUCUGGUCUGUAACUGACGCUGAGGCGCGAAAGCGUGGGGAGCAAACAGGAUUAGAUACCCUGGUAGUCCACGCCGUAAACGAUGAGUGCUAAGUGUUAGGGGGUUUCCGCCCCUUAGUGCUGCAGCUAACGCAUUAAGCACUCCGCCUGGGGAGUACGGCCGCAAAGGCUG
rnacentral:rRNA from 1 species